rnacentral:lncRNA from 1 species
CCGUUUACUAUCGAGAGUAUUCUAGCUCAACUAUAUAUAUAUAUAUAUAUAUAUAUAUAUAUAUAUAUAUAUAUAUAUAUACACACACACAUAUAUGUAUACAUAUAUGUAUAUAUAGUUGAGCUAGAAUACUAUUGGCAGCAAAUGGGCUUCGUUGCCACCCAUUUGUUUUCGAUGAUGGAGUCUUCAAAUUGACGAUCGGUACCGUUGAACAUGAUCUAUAUUACUUGAAGUAUCUAGAAAUCAAAUUUCAAAUCUUUUCGACAUCAUUAACCUAAUGAUCAAAGGGUUUCAAAAUUUAUAAUUUUAAUGGUCGAUAUGAGACAUUUUCUCGUUUAACGGUGUAAAGCUAUCCAAAUCAAUUGAAUUUUGGUUAGAAAGUUCUUUAAACUAUUUAGAGCAUGAUCUAUACUCUCGAUCUUGAUUAUAAAAUUUCUAUUAUUACUUUUUAGAGGAUAUUCAUUUUCAGCUGUUCAUUUUUACACCUACUUGAUGAAUAAGAGAACAAUAUCGGAAAAGCAUGAAAUUUGAUUUUUAGAUACUUCAAGUGGUAUAGAUCAUUUUCAACGAUACCGAUCGUCGAUUUGGACGCUCCAUCAUCGAAAACAAAUAAGUGGCAACGGAGCUCGUUUGCUACUGAUUGUAUUCCAGCUCAACUCUCUCUCUCUCUCUCUCUCUCUCUCUCUCUCUCUCUCUCUCUAUAUGUAUAUAGUACUCCUCGUAAGCUCAAAAUCGUCGCAACGACGUGAAUGGAUCUGACGCUGGUUAACGAGUGAGGAGGACAAGGAGAUCAUGAUAUUACUACUUUCUAUAAUUAUUGUAAAACUUGCUUUAAUUUUGAUAUUCUGUUGUGAUACUCUCAAGUAUUAAUUGCUUUAUUAAGUAUUCUGUUGGUACUGAUGUUGAUAUUGUUAAUGCUGAAUUAAUUUGUAUGUUCGAUUGAAUUUGUUGUUGCUGUUCGAGAAAUAGUUCAUUAGUUAGCUACUCUGGAGUCAUUGGCUAACGCGAAUGUACUCCGAAGACCGACGUUUGUGCAUGAUGUAAUUUAGAACUUGAUUUGAUUGAUCUGGUUAUUGCGCCAGCAAAAAUUGUCAUAAGUGCACCUCGCCGGGUAUGUAUGAUAAUAUGUGGUGAGACACGGUGAAACGAGUCACGAGUUUCGAGUGUUACAACCUAUACAAAUAUCUAGAAUUAGCCAAAAAACGAGUCUAGAUCGCAGUAGUUUAUUGGACUCGGUGAUGAUCACCUAUUGUCUAGACGCACGUGAAUAGUUUCACCGUGCUGUAGAACGGGUGAAGGCACGCAUUCACCGUAACUCUCAAAAUCAUCACUUCUGUAAACCUAGUCUUCUUUAGCCAAAAAAGGAAGCAUAUAUCAAUCCGUAGGAAGUUCCAAUGUAAUUGGACAGGUGAAUGGUUCACAAAACCGGCGGGCCUUGUUCAACAUCUAUCGGUCGAACACGGAUCCAUAUCACACUUCGUCGCAAUAGCAAAUACGCAAUCUUACUUUCUUGAUCAGCCCAAAUAUAGGGCUAAUCACUAACAUUAGUGUAGUCAUUGGAUUCCUAGCCUAAUGAAAUGGUCGCGAUGCACCGUUGUCCAAAUAUAAACAUUUGGUCACUACCAAACUUGGAACUCCUCAGAGCGGUUGGGGGUGGGUAUAAUAGUCCAGGGUGAUAAUAGGACAAGAGGUCGGGGAGUCUCGCCGCUCUCCGGUGAGAGAUCCAUUCACGUGUCUGAACACUGGAUGAAUCACUCGUGUUCUCAAUCGUUUUUCCGACAACUAAAAACCUAAACGUCCCCCAGCUACCUGCACCGCGAGCAGAAUGUGCCGGCACUAUCGUGUGUCAUGUCGCUCGCAGCCAAUUCUUGCGUGAGCGCAAAUCAUUGAAAUUUGAUAGAAGGGCACGACCCUAUCAUUUAGCAAAAAUCAUUACACAUCUCUUCAUCACAUGGAGUGGCUGAUCAUAAUCAUAGCAAAACGUCACAGCCACCAUAAUAUAAUAUAGUGCUUCGAAGGUGAUAUAGUAUCAAUCUGAUAGUCUAUGCUUAUAAAGACUGUUGUUAUAUACAAAACUAUCACCUGACCAUAAUAUGAGUAAGAUUACCUUAGGAUCACCUAAUCCUAUCAUAUAUAUACUCAUGGAAAGUCUAUCACUAAGCAUAUUCUAUGCUGCUGAAGCAUAUGCGCUUGCCUUAAGUUAUCUGAAUAGUGCCUCCGAACUAUGAGUGCCAUGAGUACUACGUGCCCAUCGUUGCCGGUUGAAUGCUUCGAUUAAUAUUUAUUUAUAUGAAUUGGCAAAUCCGUCGUCGCCGAUAUAACGGACGAUCCCUCGUAGACUCCUCCAGCAUCGUUACAAUAUUGAUCUAAAUGUAAUGAGAUCAGAAACUUCUAGAAAAUAAAUUUCGUAAUUUUCGCAAUCAUAAAUAAAGUACAUCAAGCGGAGCCAUAAAUAGGACACGUCAAGAAUAUAUUAGAUGUCUUUAUACAAUUGGAUGAUCCCCGCACCUCCCCUUCUCCAACAUCUUGAAGAUUAUCGGAGGUUAUUAUGAUAGCCUUAACUGAGUAUUGAGACGAGAAUAUUUAUCUGGUCACAUUCUUCAAAAUUCGAAUAUCGAUUCUUUUGCACCGUUAACUAGCAGUUGUCCAUACCGCCGUUAAAAAUUGUCAAUUUGUGAGCUUUUGAUCAUAUACGUAAAUAGAUAUGAAAAAAUUAUGAGAAUUUGAUUUCAAUAUGAUGUUUAUAAAUCUCUAAGAUAACAGUUAAUGGUCGUGGAAUUGCCGAUCUGGAAGCUCUAUGCCAUCGAAAACACAACUUAUGAGUACGAGGCGACUCGUACUCAUUAAUAGUAUAAGUAGCCGGACUCUCUCUCAUCUCUCCUCGAGGGUUGUGUGUUUAUGUCUCCGCUAGGCGGAGAGCCGCGGGUGUUAGGUGCCCACAUCAUGUCUCUGAGAUGGAUCCGUUCUCCAUCUCUCCGUCCACAUCUCUAUUGGUCUCUCCUUCAUCCUCUCUUCUCUCGCUAACCCUUAUAUCCCGUUUUCUAUAUUAUAUAUAUAUAUAUACAAUAUAUAUGUGCUACUAUGCUUCUGGAAGAUAUCGGAGCUUCCUUCUUACCAGUCGUGUUUUGAUUGUCGUUGCGGCUUUCCAAUCGUCGAUCAGGCUCCGUUGAAACUUGAAUCUAGAGUAUUUUGAAGUACCUAGUAAAAUAAAUUUUGCAAUUUUUCGAUAGAUUUGCCAUAGUGGAACUAAAAGGGGUCAAAUCAACGGCUGAAAAUAAAAAAUCUUACAAAAACGUCGAUAUAUCAUUAAAUUUUGGAUCAAAAGAUAUUGAUUGUUAUAUAUAGUAAUAAAAGAAUUUUCUAUCAAAAUUUUACGUGAUUUGGAUAUUUUCUACACCGUUAACUUGCAAACGGCUCAUACGUCCAAUUUGAAAUUAUUCUGAUUUUGAGUCUUCGAUCACUAGAACAAAUGAUAUCAAAAAAUCUAACCCAUUUAUUUUCUAAAGUAUUUCAAAUACUCUAGAUCAGUUUAACGGAGCCGAUCACAUUCCGAAAGCCGCAACACGAAAAGACCUGGAAGCAACGGAAGGCUCACGUGCUUCUACGAGCAUAUAGCUCACCUCUAUAUAUAUAAUAUAUAUAAUAUAGAGAGAGAGCAGAAGAGAGAGAGAGAGAGAGAUAGGAGAGAGAGAAGAGGGAACCUAGUCUCCUACAAUAGUUUAGCUAAUUCCGCGAAUUAUUCGCUGAUUUUUUAAAAAACGAAUACACGGGGGUUUGCGUAUUUUGGAGAAAAAAUUAUUGCGUUGAAUUAUUCCGAAUUAAACGAAUUAAACGAAUUAAAUUGAAAAAAAUAGCGUGAAUUGUUUGGAGAAAAAUAAUUAUUCGUGAAUUAUUCGCAGAUGCCGGGCCCGCACCCAGCUCGUGCUUUCCGGCAGGGACCCGCACCAGCGCUGGCUUGCGCGUUGCUGCAUUGCCGUGCCGCCGUGCGCGGCUCGCUGCGUUGCUUGCCGCACGGGUCGCAGCCACAGCUCGCGGGCCUCGCGGGCCAUUGUGGCUCGCCCAAAAGAAAAAAAAAUUUAACUUUCCCAACCACAGCAAAAAAAAAAAAAAAAAUUUCUUUUCAAAAACACUGACGCAGCCCUCCUCCUUCCACUAUAAAAAAAUAAUAUCAGAUCUGAUCAAAAAAUUAAUCUCCUUAUGGACCUAUCUAAUUCUAUAUUUUGCUAAAAUUUAUUAAUUUUGAGGCAUAAUAAUAGUUUUGCCUAUUUUUUUUACUUAAUUAACUAAUUUAGUAGCUUCUUAUUCCUUAUAAUUUAUAGAAAUAUGAGUAUUUAUGCAAUAACAUAAAUCUUGAGAAAAAAAAAAAUAUUAAUGCAAAUUUUUAUAUCCAUUUUAUUUAUGGAACGUAUAUACGUAUAUAAAUCAGUAUCCGAAUAAUUGAACGAAUCCAUUUUUUAGCCGUAUUUUUCACAAUUUAAAAAUUUAGAAAACGAAUUUUAUUUUCGAAUUAUAGCUGUUACUUGAAUUUUUUGCCGAAAUCCCGAAUAAAAUAUAACUAAGCUUAUGGGUCUACUAUACUAUCUAUAGUCAGCUAAGGGGCUCCCAGUACUUAUGUCAUCAUAUUUCGACUAAGGGUGCAAUACAAGAUCCACACCGUUAAAAACCUGAUCUAGUGUAUUAAAGUUUUAGAAAUAAAAUUUUUAUUUUUUUUCGACAUAGUUACUUUAUGAUCAAAACCAUUUCAAAAUUGUCAAUUCAUGGCACUAUUGCAAGUUUAGAGUUUAUGGUUUAGAAAAUCUAAAUUUCUUUCAAAUUUGAUAGAAAAUAAUUUACAACUACUAGAUUAAGUUUAACAUUCUGAUCUGAAUUUAAAAGUCAUAUACUGAAAUUUUAAAGAUUAUUCCAAUUUCCCAAUGCCUCAUUUUGGGAACAUAAUUUAUUUACUGAGUAAAAUUGACUGUCGAAAAAAACUAAACAUUUUUAUUCCUAAAACUCCAUAUAACCCUAAGAUUAUAUUUAAGGUAUGGAUUGUUAAUUUGAACACCUAAGAUGAAAUAAUACUAUAGUAGCGAGCCUCUGAAUACUAUAGAAAGUAUAGUAGCCUAUAUAUAUUAAUAUUAUAUAUAUAAUAUAUAUAUAUUAUAAUAUAAUAUAAUAAGGUUGAGCUAGAAUACUCUCGAUAUAAAUUGGGGCAUUUUAACUAAUCGAGUUGUUUUCGAUGAUAGAGCUUCCAAAUGACGAUCGUCCCGUUGAACAUGGAUAUAACAUGUUAAGUGUUAGAAAUCAAAUUUCAAAUCUUUUCCGAACUCAUUUUGCCUAAUGAAUCAAAGGGGUUUCAAAAUUGUAAUUUAAUGGGUGGAUAAGAGACGUUUUCUCGUUUAACGGUGUAGAAGAUAUCCAAAUCAAUUGAAUUUUGUUUAGAAAAAUUCUUAAAAUAUAUUUAAAAAAGAUCUAUGUCUUGAUCUUGAUUUAAAGACUCUAUCAUCAUUUUUUAAAGAAUAUUCAUUUCAACCAUUCAUUUUUCUGUUCACUAGAUGAUAAAAGAACAAUUCGAAGUGCGUGAAAUUUGAUUUUCUGAGUAGUUUAAAUGGUUUAGAUCCAUGAUUACACGGAGCCGAUCGUCAAUUUGGAAGGCCUCUAUCAUUCGAAAAACAACUCGAUAGUAAAUGCUCCGUUUACUAUCGAGAGUUAUUUCUAGCUCAAACUUAUAUAAUAUUAGUAUAUAUAUAUAUAUAUAUAUAUAAAUAUAUAGGUAUAUAUAUAAACACACAACACAUAUAUUAUACAUUAUGUAAUAUAGUUGAGCUAGAAUAUCUAUUGGCAGCAAAAUGGCCUCGUUGCCACCUAUUUGGUUUCGAUAUGGAGUCUCAAUUGACGAUCCGUAACGUUGAAACAUGAUCUAUAUUAACUUGAAGUAAUCAGAAAUUCAAAUUCCAAUCUUUUUCGGACAAUCAUUAACAGCUAAUCACAAAGGUUUUCAAAAUUAUAUAAUUUUAAUGGUCCGAUAUGAGCAACUUUUCUUCCUUCGUUUAAACUGGUGUAAAGCUAUCCAAAUCAAUUGAAUUUGGUUGAAAUUCUAUUAACUCAUUUUAAGCAUGAUUAUACUCUCGAUCUUGAUUAUAAAAUCUAAUUAUUAACUUUUUAGAGAUAUUCAUUUUCAGCUGUUCAUUUUUCACCUUACUUGAUGAAUAAGAGAACAAUAGUCGGAAAGCAUUGAAAUUUGAUUUUUAGAUACUUCAAGUUUGGUAUAGAUCAUUUCCAACGAUACCAUCGGUCGAUUUUGGACGCUCCCAUCGAGAAAACAAUCACGUGGCAAACGGAGCGCCGUUUGCUACUGAUUGUAUUCCCAGCUCAAAACUCUCUCUCUCUCUCUUCGUUCUCCCUGCUUCUCAAUCUACUUCUCUCUCCAGCUAUUCCCCUUCUUCUAUAUAUAAUAUAUAUAUAUAAAUUAUAGCUAUAAUUUAAUAUAAUAUUAUCUACUAAGCAUAAUAGUAACAAACCCUUGUACUUAUGAGUUUUCGGCCGUUGAUGAAAGAAUGUGUCGGUUCGGAUUGAUAGUGGCUACCCCGUUAAAAUUGAAUAAUGGUCCCUAGGGUUGAGUCAGUGGUUUGGGUUUAUUUAUAUGUAGUAUAAUCUAAUGGGUUGAAAUGAUCAAAAGUAGAUCUAUACGUAGAAAACCAAUAUACAAGGCUGGUACUAUGAUAGUAUGAGUACCGGACUUCUCCUUUAAAUGAUAUAUAAUAUAUAUAUAUACUAAAGAGAGAGAGAGAGAGAGAAAGAGAGACGAGACGAGAGAAGAGAGAGGGGCUGGUAUGCUUCUGGAAGCACGGAGCCCUCCUGUUGCUUCCAAGUUUUUUUCGAUGAUUUCGGACUUUCGAAUUGACGAUCGGCUUCCGUUAGAGGUUGAUCUAGAGUUUGACAUACUAAAAAUAAUUAUGUGAUUUUCUUACGAUAUCAUUUACCAGUGAUUGAAGGCUCAAAAUCAAUAUAUUUAAUGCAAUGGUAGCCGUUUGGCCAUUUAACGGUGUAGAAAUAUCCAAAUUACAUGAAAUUUUGAUAAAAAAAAUUUUUAUACCAUAUAAAAACAAGAUCAUAACUUUGAUCUAAAAUUUUAAUGUCCAUAUCCAUAUAUUUGGUAAGAUUUUUAUUUUCAAAGCCGUUGAUUUUUGGCCGCUUCCGAUCACUAGCAAUGAAUAUCGAAAAAUCCAAAAAUUAUUUCUAGAUAGUCAAAUUACUCUAGACAAAAUCUAACGGAGUGAUCUCCGAUUCGAAAGUCCAAACAUCGAAAACAACUUUGAAAGCACGGAGCGCUCCGUGAUUCCAGAAUGCCAUACUAAACGAAAAACUCUAUAUAUUCAUGACAUAUAUAUAUAUAUAUAUAAUAUAUAUUAUAUACAUAUAUAAAGAGAGGAAAGAGAGAGAGAGAGAGAGAGAGAGAGAGAGAGAUAAAUCCUGUAACUUUUGAAGUACGGAGACACCGUGCUUGUAAGUUUUUUCAUGAUAGGAAAUCCGAUUCGACGAUCGAUCUUCGUUAAAUUAAUCUUAUCCUAUUGAACUAAUUUGAAACAAAUUUAUAAUUUUUUUGACAUUAUUAUCAAACGAUCAACAGGUCUCCAAAACAUGAAUAUUUUAAUGGCGAUGUGGCACGUUUAUAAGUCAACGUGUAGAAGUUCCAAUUCAGAUGAAAACAUUUAAUAGAAAUUCUACUUAACAUCAAUAGCAAGACAAAUUACUUACGAUUUGAAAUUUGAGUCCUUUUAUCACUGUUUUUAUGAAGAUUUUCAUUUUCAGUCGUGUCAUUUUGAGGCUACUCGUUUACUAGACAAACAAGCAAAAUUUAUGCCAAAUUUUGGUUUCUAGUAGUUCCAACAGCGUAUCAUUGUUAACGAAAUCACCAAUCGGAUGUCCAUUAUGAAAACAACUUACAAGUACGAAGCUCGCCCGUAUUUUCGAAAGUAUAGGAGGCCUACUUAUAUAUCACUAUAAUAAUAGAGAGAGAGAGAGAGAGAGAGAGAGAGAGAGUUUGCUAGAAUACUAUCGAUAGUAAACCUAAGCCGUUGCAUCCGAUUUUUUUUCGAUGAUAUAGCUUCAAAUUGAUGAUUCAGUCACCGUUAAACAUGAAAUCUAAACUAUAUUAACUACUGGAAAAUCAAUUCACGUGAACAUUUUUCGAUAUUAAAUUCUCUUAUCCAUCAAGUGGAACAGAAAAUAAAUGGCUGAAAAUGAAUAUCUUCAAAAAGUGAUGAAUACAUUUAUAUUUGAAGAUCUAGAGUCUAGAUUUAUUUUAAAUGUUUAAAGAAUUUUUAAUAAAUUUAGUAUUUGAACUCUUCUAUAAGUUAAACACAAACGCAACCAUAAUUCGGCCAUAUAACAUUAAGAUUUUGUGACCACUUUGAUCGUUCAUUAUGAUGCCAAAAAAUCAUUGGAAAUUUGAUUUUUAGAAAUUAAUUUAAAUGGUCUAGAUCAUGUUCAACGGUGCCGAUCGUUGAUUUUCAGAAGCUCUAUCAUCAAAAUAAAAUCGGUUAGAGCAGUUUACUACCGAUGAGCUCAGUCAAACUAUAUAUAUAUAUAUAUUAUAUAUAUAUAUAUUAUAUAUAUAUAUAUAAUUAUAUAUAAUAACUAUAUCAUAAAACAAGGCUGGAAUACUAUGCAAUAGACACCAAUCUAUUGAUCUAUAUUUUUUAACCACUUGGAUUGAAAAAUGUGUGGUAGGAUAGUGGGUCUCUAGAGAUAAGUGAGUGGUUGGUUGAUUGUAGUAAUAAUCUAACGGGUAAAAUAAUUAAAGCGUUAAAUCAACAUGGAAAACUCGAUAGGGACAAAUCCUUGGUGCUAUCGAUAGUAUCCCAACCGGACUAUAUAUAUAANNNNNNNNNNNNNNNNNNNNNNNNNUAUAGGGUAUUUAUUAUGCUUACUAUACUAUCAAUAGUACCAAACCCUUGCUACUAUUGAGUUUUUCGGCCGUGGCAUGAAAAAGGAUGUUGUGGUUCGGGAUUGAUAGUGCUCCGCCGGGUUAAAUUGACUAAUGGUCGCCCCUAGGGGAUUGAGUCAGUGCGUUGGUAUGAAUAGUUAAUCCUGAAUGGGUGGAAAUGAUCAAAGGGCUAGAUCUAACGGUACCGGAAAACUCAAUAGUAGGGCAAGGGCUUAGGGAUACGGUAUCGAUAGUGAUAGUAGGCGCUGACGACGUCUACGUAUCUGUGUAGUGUAUUAUAUUUUCAUAGUGUGUAGUGUGUGCUGAGUAAUAGUGAUGAUAUAUAUACAUAGAUGAUUCUAGAAGAUGGGAGGAGAUAGACGGUGGGAUCGAGGUGACGGGAGUGGAUGAGAGGGGCGGACCGGGACCGGUGUGGGGGGGAGGAUGGGGGAGGAGGACGGGAGAGAUCGAUGGAAGCAGUGGGCUGUUAUGCUUCUGCGAAUGCACGGAGCCCUCUGAUGCUGAUCCAAGGUUGUUUUUCGGAUGUAUUCGGACUUUCAAGAAUUGACGAUCGGUCCGUUAGAAGGUUGAUCUAGAGUAUUUGAGAGCUACCUAGAAAAUAAUUAUGUGAUUUUUCGAUAUCAGGUUGGGUACCAGUGAUUGAAGGCUCAAAAUCAAUAUUUUAAUGGCCAAGAUGGUUUGAGCCGUUUGCCAAGUUUAACGGGUGUAGAACAUAUCCAACAUUAACAUGAAAUUUUGAUAAAAAAUUUUUUAAUACAUAUAAAACAAGAUCAAUAACUUUGAUCUAAAAUUUUAAUGCCAUAUCUCAUAUUUUGUAAGAUUUUUAAUUCAGAGCCGUUGAUUUUUGAGCCAGCUUCGAUCCGUCCUUUUCUUUUUACGAACAAAACUGGUGGCCUUCCCCAAGGCGAAGGAUGCGUCGGGUCGACAUGAAUGCCUUUGGUCCAACAAUAUCACCUGCAGUUGCGCCCUCAGCUCCCUCAGCUCUGCCCGGUGCCUUUCCUUAUAGGGUGCCUUUGGGGAGGAUUGGUGGUAGUUCCCAGGGACGAGAAAUCUACACAAAACUCAAUCUCCCUAAUCAGGGAGGCAUACGCCGGUGGGCUCAGCUGGAAACACAUACUGAGACUCCCGGCCACCAUCGGAGUGAUCCCUCAAUCCUAGGGGUGUCAUCCUCUUCCCUCUCAGCACACACUAGCCAAGAGAAGCUACGCACCUCUGGUUAAAUCAGGCUGCCAUAGCUCGCAGACGAGGACGCUGAUCGUCAUCGCAAACAGCGAGCUUCCGGCAUCCACGAAAUACCACCUCUGGUCUGCCCAUGUUCUCUAAAAAGUAACCGCAUGCGAUUCUAUACAACUCAAUCGGUGCAUAAAUACUUGGUCAACCGGAAUCCGAAUGGCCCAAAACCACAUCAAAAUCCCCAAGCUUGCGCAAAAGCAGCAGAACUCUACAGCAUGAAUCAAUCCUACAGCAGAAGCAGGCCGACUGGGGCCUAAACUCUUCUAAUGUCCAAAGACUGAUCUCCUUUUAUAUAUAUAUAUAUAUAUAUAUAUAUAUAUAUAGAGAGAGAGAGAGAGAGAGAGAGAGAGAGAGAGUUGAACUAGAAUACUAUCGAUAGAAAACGGGCUCCGUUGCCACCCAUUUGUUUUCGAUGAUAGAGCCUCCAAAUCGAUGAUUGGCACCGUUGAACAUGAUCGAUACCACUUGAAGUGUUUAGAAAUCAAAUUUCAAAUCUUUUUGACAUCAUUUACCCAAUGAUCAAAGGGGUUUCAAAAUUAGUAAUUUUAAAGGUCGAUAUGAGGCGUUUUCUCGUUUAACGGCGUAAAGAUAUCCAAAUCAAUUGAAUUUUUGUUAGAAAAUUCUUUAAACUAUUUAAAACAAGAUCUAUACUCUUGAUCUUGACUACAAGACUCCUAUCAUCAUUUUUUAAAAGAAUAUUCAUUUUCAGUCGUUCAUUUUUGUAUCCACUCGAUGGAUAAGAAAACAAUAUCGAAAAAGUAUGAAAUUUAAUUUCUAGAUACUUCAAGUGAUAUAGAUCAUGUUCAACGGUGCGGAUCGUCGAUUUAGAGGCUCCAUCAUCGAAAAAAAUUGGUGGUAACGAAGCCCAUUUGCUAACGAUAGUAUUCCAGCUCAAAUCUCUCUCUUUCUCUCUCUCUCUCUCUCUCUCUCUCUCUAUAUAUAUAUAUAUAUAUACAUAUAUAUAUAUACAUAUAUAUACAUAUAUAUAUAUAGAGCUAGGCUCCUAUACUUUCGAAAGUACGGAAACCUCCGUACUUGUAAGUUGUUUUCAAUAAUGGAACAUCCGAUUCGGCGAUCGGUUCCGUUAGACAUGAUCUACUCUAUUAGAACUACCUAGAAACCAAAUUUCAUAAUUUUUUGACUUCGUUUGUGUAGUAAACGAGUAGCCUCAAAAUGAACGGCUGAAAAUAAAAAUCUCAUAAAAAACAGUGAUAAAGGACUCAAAUGUCAAAUCGGAAGUAUUGGCCUUGCUAUUGAUGGUAAGUAAAAUUUUCUAUUAAAUUUUCAUCUAAUUUGAAUACUUCUACACCGUUGAACUUAAAAACGUGCCACAUCGGCCGUUAAAAUAGUCAUUUUUGAGACAUUUUGAUCGCUUGGUAAAUGAUGUCAAAAAAUUAUAAAAUUUAGUUUCUAAAUAGUUCCAAUAGGAUCGAUUAUACUUAACGGAGCCGAUCGUCGAAUCGGAUUUCCUAUCAUCGAAAACAACUUACAAGCACGGAGGUCUCCGUACUUUCGAAAGUACAGGAGACUUACCCUAUAUAUAUAUAUAUAUAUAUAUAUAUAUAUAUAUAUAUAUAUGUAUAUAUAUAUAUAUAAAUAUAUAUAUAGAGAGAGAGAGGGAGAAAGAGAGAGAGAGAGAGAGCUAGGCUGGAAUACUAUCAAUAGCACCAAGCGUUUGGUGCUAUCAGGUUUUUGGCCCUUGGAUUAAGAAACGUACGGUUAGAAUGAUGUGGGCCCCCUAGGGUUGAGUGAGUUAUUGGUUUAAUAGUAUAAUCUAACGGGUGAAAAUAGUCAAAGGGUUAAAUCUAACGGUGGAAAACUUGAUAGCACCAAAUGCUUGGUGCUAUCAAUAGUAUCCUAGCCAGACACUAUAUAUAUAUAUAUAUAUAUAUAUAUAUAUGUAAGGCUACAAACCUUAUGGUAUCGUUUGGUUCGAGAAUAAGCAAAAAGUGGAUAUUCCGGGGAUAGGUGUAAAUUGAGGUAUAANAUAUAUAUAUAGAGAGAGAGAGAGAGAGAGAGAGAGAGAGAGAGAGAGAGUAAACCUCCUGUACUUUUGAAAGUACGGAGACCUCCGUGCUUGUAAGUUAUUUUCGAUGAUAGGAAAUCCGAUUCGACGAUCGACUCCGUUAAGUAUAAUCUAUCCUAUUGGAACUAUUUAGAAACCAAAUUUUAUAAUUUUUUGACAUUAUUUAUCAAACGAUCAAAAGGUCUCAAAAAUGACUAUUUUAAUGGCCGAUGUGGCACGUUUUUAAGUUCAACGGUGUAGAAGUAUCCAAAUUAGAUGAAAAAUUUAAUAGAAAAUUCUACUUAACAUCAAUAGCAAGACAAAUACUUCCGAUUUGAAAUUUGAGUCCUUUAUCACUGUUUUUUAUGAGAUUUUCAUUUUCAGUCGUUCAUUUUGAGGCUACUCGUUUACUAGACAAACAAAGUCAAAAAUUUAUGAAAUUUGGUUUCUAGGUAGUUCCAACAGCGUAGAUCAUGUCUAACGGAAUCGACGCCGAAUCGGAUGUCCCAUUAUUGAAAACAACUUACAAGUACGGAAGCUCCCGUAUUUUCGAAAGUAUAGGAGCCUAGCUCUAUAUAUAUAUAUAUAUAGAGAGAGAGAGAGAGAGAGAGAGAGAGAGAGUUUUGCUAGAAUACUAUCGAUAGUAAACCAAGCCGUUUGCUACCGAUUUGUUUUCGAUGAUAGAGCUUCCAAAUUGAUGAUCAGCACCGUUAAACAUGAUCUAAACUAUUUAACUAUCUGGAAAUCAAAUUUCACACAUUUUCGAUAUUAUUCUCUUGUCCAUCAAGUGAACAGAAAAAUAAAUGGCUGAAAAUGAAUAUCCUUCAAAAAGUGAUGAUACAAUUUUUAUAUUUGAGAUCUAGAGUCUAGAUCUUAUUUUAAAUAGUUUAAAGAAUUUUUUAAUAAAAUUUAGUUGAUUUGAACUCUUCUAUAACGUUAAACGAGCAAACGCACCAUAUCGGCCAUUAAAAUUAUAGAUUUUGUGACCCUUUGAUCGUUCAGUUAGUGAUGCCAAAAAAUCAUGAAAUUUGAUUUUUAGAUAAUUUAAAUGGUCUAGAUCAUGUUCAACGGUGCCGAUCGUUGAUUUAGAAGCUCUAUCAUCAAAAAUAAAUCGGUAGUAAACCGAGCAGUUUACUACCGAUAGAAGCCCAGUCAAACUAUAUAUAUAUAUAUAUAUAUAUAUAUAAAACAAGGNAAUUUGCUCGUUUGCAGAGAAUAGCCCGUAAUUUUAAUAUCUAAAACACUGGGAAACUAGCAAGCCAAUCACUACAGCUUUUCUAAUACUUUAAACUAAAAAUCUAUGAAAUUCACCAGAUCUAGUACAAGUUGCAACGGCUAGCAACUAAACCUUCGAGAUAGUAGUUUUUAUUUAGCCAUCAUUUGGCUCGAGCAAAUGAUGACUAUCAUAAGAUCAGUUUGAGAGAGAGAGAGAGAGAGAGAGAGAGAGAGAAAGAGAGAGAGAAAGAGAGAGGUCACCGACCCUUGUUCGAACAAGGGUGGACCCCCCCCCUUGACAACAAGGGUGGGGAAUGGCCCAAUAUGGUCCAUAUUGGGCUAUUCCCCACCCUUGUUGUCAAGGGUGGUUUAAAAAAAAAAAACAAACCCAUAUUUCUCCCCCUAUUGCGGAAUAGGGGUGAAAAUAUGGGCUAGGUUUGCCCUAGCCUCCCAAGUUUCGAUAAAGGUCUCCUACCCUUGUUGUAUGUUGUUUAUUUCCUAAACAAUCCUUUACAUUCUCACUGUUUAACCGGUAUAUGCCAGUUGACCUCUACCUGAUAUGUUAAAGAAGAAAUUACAUGCAAACUCCUAAUUGCUAGAGUGAUCCGAAAGUUGUUAGACCACCCGAUAGACCAACCUUCCUUUGUUGUAGUAAAAAAAAAUUUUUUUCAUGUUUGGAUAGAGUUCAAGAUCACCCGCAAGCUGUGAGAGAUCCCGUCAUUAGACUCGUAACGGUGAUUAAGAAGAAAAGAACUAUAAAAAGUACUUAAAAAGUAAAAUAAACUCAAAAAUAAAAAUAAAAACAAAAAAAAUAGAAAAUAAACAAAUCUGAGGUCGACGGAGAGAGAGGUAUGAUUUAAGUAAAGGGGUAACUUACUUCGUCGAUCGUACGAUAGAAAAAAGAGUUUUUUUUCUCUCCCCUUAACUGUAUAUAUCUAAACGUAACAAAUUAUGGGAUGCGAAGUAAAUAGGAGGUGUAUCCUCAUCUGCUAUAAUUCAUUUAUAACUUUUCUAGUGAUAUUAACAUUUACACCAUAACAACAAUGUUUAGUUCUCACACAGUCUACUAGCUCUACUAAACGAUCAUAAUAAGUUGUUCUACAUACUUCUUGGCAACUAGUAUUAAUGCUCGUCUAUUGUUUUGUUCGUUUGGAUUACGUUUACAUUUAUCGUUCGAUGGAAAUAUUCUUCCUAAACAAUCUCGAAGUGUAUACUCCAAGUGAUUUAGUAGAUCUACUUAGGUUCUCUUGGACAUUACGUUUUUGUACUCCUUAUUUGGAUUAACUCCUUUUUCUUUUCGUUGUUGUUAUCGAUACCAGCCUUUCCACAUCUGGGUGAUUAAACCCGACCGUACUGUAAAGUUACAUAUUUGGUAAAUAGUCCAUCAUUUUAUUAUCCUUUUUUUUUUAGAUCAGCGGACUACUAUAAGUUAGGAUCUCCUUUUCCCUUAACUUUUUUUAAAGUUUUAACCUAAAUAUCUUCUAAAGCAUCUUAAAUUCCUACUAAACAUAUCGUUACACUUAUAUUUAGGAUGACGUAGGCUGAUCUUCCAUUUGAUUUUGAUUGUUACGGUUGUUCGUGUAUUAAAUUCGUCUAAGCUAUCGAUAAUAAAGGUCUUUUAGGUAUAACUAAAAAGAGGAAGAGGGACCGUUUCGUUUCUUUAAGCCUUUUUUUCUCUUCUUUUAAUGUACAAUGUAAGUUCGAGUAUAAAAGAAAGAGUACACUUAAGAUGAGUAAGAUAUUUAGAAAGGAGUCGUUCGUUUUUAUUGAUCGGUUCGUUUGAACGUAAUUGGUUCAAGAUCUUAUUAUAUUGACGUUAUUGUCUUCUUGUGAUCAUACCUCUUCCUUGUGUACUGAAACGACCGGGCAUUUCGUUCACCUUUAAUAACCGUGAAAUAUUACACUUCAGUUAUUUAAGUGACAUCGAAUCGUCUCAUUUGUACACACCUCUUAGUUAACUAAUUUUGGAACGAGUUUAAUCCUGACUUACCAGUGUUUAAUAGUUUUAUAGACUGGGUUUAUCAAGUCUGAUUGUCCAACUAAUAACAAUUACGUUAUUUCUUAGACUAGAACAAUGUUAACCUUUAUGUCAAUAGACUUUUUUGAAUGGUAACGGAAGGUCUUGGAUCUCCUGGAGGUCGUUUGUAGUAUUUAUCCCCCUAGUAAAAUCGACGUCAUACAGUUCUAUUUUCCUUAUUCUUCAAUUCUUGUUCAGUCUUCUAUGAAUAGUUUACAAUUUACGUGUAGGACAUUAAAUUGUAUAUUACACUGUUACGAGUAAACUGAUGACACGAUAUCUUUACUCAGCUUUUAUUUCUUGUGAGUGUUGGUACUUCUUGUUUAGGAUCGAUACUAUGAAAUGUUAGAAUUAGUCGUAAUAAUGAAUUAUUUGGGUGUUUGUCGUAAAGUACCGUGGUAGUGUUGAUAUUGUGGUUAUGAUCCCGACGAAAAUGUUGAUACUGGAGAGUCUCAUAUACUAGAUAAAAACUAGCUGAAAGAGUUGAAACUAAACACGGGAUCAUUAUGGUUUAUGAACACUCUACCUCAAUAGUAGAAACGACAGAUUUGUACCUUAAUAGUCUUCAAUGGAAAGUCCGCACUAAUUAAGUUCACUUUUAUUUUAAUGUUGGCGACUUCCCCUUCUUCAAUGUAAAAACGUUCGUAUCUUAGAAAAACAUGUAUGAUCUGUAAACUCUAUAGUUUCUCUUAUAACUAUUUUGAUUCGGUUGGAUCUCGUGGUGGUAGGAACGGUUCUUGUUACGGUUAUGCUUAUUCGUGGUUAGAUUGUAAUAAUAGAUGAAGUGAUCGGGAACGAAGGGUAAGAGAUGUGUGGACUACGUAAUAUGUGUUUUUUAUCUUGUAUUCUUUUAAUGUUAUACUCUUUUACCAAAUCAUAAAACAGAUUGUUCAUCAUAUAACGUAGCACCUCGACUUCGUUUCAUUUUAGUUUAUAUAUAUGAAAGUCCAGUUAGUUCAUAUACUUACAAUCAGUCUCUAUACUAUUGAUUUUACUAGUAAAGUGAUCCAACAGUAUGAAAGUAAACGUUAUUGUACGUUGGACGAAUGUUCUAGUUUUGACGAUUCUAGUGGUGGUUACACAAUCCAGAUAUCUUCAUCAUACUGUGCAAGGAUAAUAAACUAGUUUGGACGUCUAUUACUUACAUACUUCCAAAACUUCGUUGAAUCUUUGUAAUAAACUCUUUGAAUAAUCCAACGUCCUGGUACCAAUUAGAUACCAUUUUAUAAACAACCGUAAGAGAUUGUUCUAUCAGUUAAAAACAGAUUUGUAAAGAUCAAGUAAGAAAAGACGGAUUGUAGUUUAGUGUGAGUAAGUGCACGUACAAGAGUCUUAACUAUGAUUUGUCUUUUGGAAGAUAGGAAGACAAAUCAAAAGUUUACUCAUAAUAUGUGGAAUGUUAACUUUACGUAAUACAGGAGUUCGUUACAAAGUUAUUACUGUUUUUUAAAGACCAAAUUAGACAAAACAGAUAAGAGUUUUGAUAUGAAUAAGACUUACGAUAAAGGAUCUUUACCCUGAGUCGUUUACUUAGAAUAACUUUAAAACGUUGAUCGAACUUCCAAAGGGAUGGUUGAUUGAUCGUGGUUAUAUAUAUAUAUAUAUAUAUAUAUAUAUAUAUAUUCUCUCUCUCUCUCUCUCUCUCUCUCUCUCUCUCUCUCUCUUCCCGAUGACACGAUAAUCCUCGUGUCGUUGGGAACACGAGGAUUGAAAGAUUGGUAGGUAGUUAAAACUACUCACCAAUUCCACUCUCUCUUCUCUUUAACUCCUCUUUAACCUAUAGAGUUAAAGAGAAGAGAAACUUAAAGAGAGGUUAAAGAGAAGAGAGAGAGUAGGAUUAGUGGGUAGUCUUAACUCCGACAACACGAGGAUUAUCGUGUUAUCGGGAUGAGAGAGAGAGAGAGAGAGAGAGAGAGAGAGAGAGAGAGAGAAAUAUAUAUAUAUAUAUAUAUAUAUAUAUCACGAUAAAGGAUAAAGGAUAUUUACCUUGAGUCGUUUACUUAGAAUACCUUUAAAACGUCGGUCGAACUUCCAAAGGACUGGUUGAUUGGUCAUGGUUCUAUUUGUAUUUAAUUAGUUACAGUAUCAAGCUACGGUAUUAAAAGAGUGUUCUGUACAAGUUUUAAGGUUAAAUUCACGUAUUAUUACAUACUACUACUAGGUAAUGGAGACUCUCUAUCAGUAAAGGACUACCUGAACAGAGUAGCUUUGAUACUCAAAGUGAGCAGGGACAAUAACAGUACUCUUUCUAUUAAUCUCUUCAUUGCAUAUACCAUUAUUUUUAACCUUAAGAAAGUGUACUCAUAUUUAUUCUGGUGUAAGUACUGGUACUUAUUGAUUUCCGCUUACGUUGGAUCAACUCGUACGCUUUCUAUUCUAACUGUUCGUAUUGGUCUAUCUGAUUUCCGUUUACGUUGGAUCAACUCAUCCGCUUUCUAUUCUAAUUGUUCGUAUUGAUCUAUUUUCUUACCAGGGGAUCACUUCUUACCAUAAGGUUACCAUUCCGUGAAACCUCCCCAUCCCCAGACUUAAAAACAGGUCCACCCCCUGAAACCUAUCCAACAUCCCCGUGUUCGAGAACUAGGAGUUUUUAUUUUUUUUCUUUUCCUUUGAAUUUUUUUUUAGUGCGAUAUCUAUUACACGGAGUAUUACAGUACAUUGUUUGGAACAGUCAAUGGUAUUUUAAUAAAACAGAAGUCCAGAAAUAUAACCAAACUUGAAUUUUCUAAAAGAUUUAAUUUUCUAACUUGAAAAGAGGAAACAAUUCCGAAGGGGUAGAAGUUAUCCUAAUACACAUCUCAACAGGGCGUCUAGAUGUUUGAUUUUAUGUUAUGAAUUCUUAAUUCUAUAGACAUGGUUAACCGGAAUUAUCUGAUCAAAGGACUUUCGUCAUAGUUAAUGAAGUGAUUGCAGAUCUGAGAUCUCACAACUACAUUCCGCUUUCAGUUCGUAUAAACGGAUAAGAAGCAGGUUAAGCGUUUUACCAUUUCCGAGCUAAGUACAGUUACAACGUCUGGGUUUCUAACGGAUAUUCCCAAUACGAUAUCGAGAGAUAAAGAUUUCAUUCCUUCUUGUUGGUGGUGGCUGUAGUACAUUACAUUAAGCAUGCUAAUUAGAGUUGCUUUUACUACACUUCUUAAGUCUAUCGUGAGUUGGUAUUGAAAAUACGAUCACUUGUUUCAUCGACUUUAGAUGUAUCACCAAAGAGUUAGUCCGUCACUAGAUGUCAGAAAGAUCAGUGUAUAAGCCUUCCCUUUAGAGUAGUCCUUUAGUAUAUUGUAGCGCAUGGUAUUUUUGGCUACCGACAACGUGACUGGUUUUGACUUCCGGCUUUUAGACCUAAUCACGCCAAAUAUGAAGGAUGUUAGAAAUGGUGUAAUUCAUUUAAGUUAAUUCACUUCUUACCUUUUCUUCGUACGAAACGUCGUAUUUGUUCUUAAUUAUAUUGUAUAUUAACAAUUGAAUAUUAGUACCAACCCUGCACUAUUCCCCAUGUUAAGUAACCACACAGUAACGGUAAGUCGCGGUAGUGACAGUUGCCGUACGUACGAAUGUCGACUAACCGUCCAGUGGUACGGUGGGGUUCAUUAGGAAGUAAAGUUCAUGUAUCGUUAAUGUUUUUUCUGAUUGAUUCUCUUUUAGUUCAUUUUUAGUGGAAGCUACAUUGUAACUAGGCCGAAAAGAAAUAAAGGAAGAAUUAGACGUUAAACUUAUGGUUUUGAGUCAUUGAGUAGAGUUUAAUUGAUAUAUGUUAAGUUUUCCUACGAGGACUUAUUUCGUUACUUAAGAACGCAAUCGGUUGUCUAAGUGACGUAAAGUUUUUAUAAUCUAUGCACUCUUUGUAUCUUAAUGCCUUCUUACGUUUCAAGAAUUUCAUUUGUUGGAGACUUCUGGUGGAGCACGAAUACCCGUAAGGUCGGUCCAAUUGUUGUGGUAAACUCGGAACUUACGUAAAAAGGGUGAGAAGAAGAAGUCGUUAAUCUUAAAGUCCUUUAAAGAGUCGACGUUAACGUGUUAAAAAAAAGUGUUCUCAUCUGUUUUCAAACAUCCGUUUACCUUUUGUCUGAUUAUUUCUUUGUUCGAUAUUGUACCUGGUCGAAGUUGAUUAAUUCUAAUUUCUUCAGAGAAGAAAACCUAUUAAUCUGUUACCUCGUCGCUCUGUUUUACCUUCUUCGUCGUCGUCGUCGUCGUCGUUUAAGUUUAUUGUCACAUUGUUCAUGAGACGUCAAUGACGUUCUCUCGUUACAAUGAUAAAAUCAGUAUGAUGUAACUCAUAAAAUCCUUAACUUUCCAACCGAGCACUGAUCAAAUACGGUCUUUAGAAAAAGUCAAGUUUUUCACUAGGAUUCUUCAUCGUAUGUUUAAUUUUAGAUCUCUAAUUUCUCCCUCAGUUGUCGACCACAAACUGUAGAUAAAUCUCAGGUUUAGGAAAUAAUGAAACCACCCGAGUAUCAAGGUGGUGAUCUUCCUUUUCUUUUGUCUUUAACUAUAAAGUUGAUCACGUUAAAACCCACAUUGAGUACCGUACUCAAUGAUCUUUAUAAGUAAUGGAAGAAUGGUCCUUUUUGAUUAGCACGGAAACGGGCUCUAGCACAAUUUUGUGCUUGAAAUACUAGUAGACGUAGUUACAAGUGUCUGUAUCGUAAUUAUGUCCCUUACAGCUCUACUACGGAGUCGUGAAUAUCUGAACUAUUAGUGAUUGUAUUUAAAUUAUACGUACUACUGUUCGAACGUGUAUUUCUACACACACGUAUACCGCGCGCGCGUGCUCUCUCUCUCUCUCUCUCUCUCUCUCUCUCUCUCAUUAUUGCUCCUGUGGUGUAAGUAAGUUUCCGAUUGUCUAUUUAAUUACAUACUCGUGGUCUAUUGAUGCUUCCAGAUUUUAAAGAAGUUAACCACCGAUUAGUUUGUUUGGACGAUCGUUGAAGACUUGGUUAGAAACUGGCUACUUCGGUCAUCGAGGUCAAUAACUGUGGUGGUAGACUGAAGGGAUUUAUUUGUACUUUCUUAAUGCUUGACUCUCUUUAUCAGUAGAGUGAUUUUAGUGUGUUUAAAUCGUAGAAAAAGUUUUCCUUUGUUAAUCUUUCCUAUUUUUGAUCUUCUCGGAUUCGUAACAGUUGACGAAUAAUAAAUCAUUUUACUCAAUCAUAUAGUGUAAAAAGAUGUAAAGUUGUAUAUAGAUCAAUCGUCGAAUUUAUUGUUGUUUUCUAUAGAAGAUGACACGAUUUUAAUAGUUAUAGUCAUCAUAUUCUUAAGAUAAGUUAAAUAUACUAAGGUGAGAUAGUUUAUGUUGUUUGAAAGUAUACGUUUGAACGAAGAAUAAGGUUUUAAAACCUUGAUAACACUGCGGAACCUCCCUUUAGUUUAGUACAUACUCUUAUAGUUCUGGUCGUCGUACUCUUUAUUAUUGACCUAAAAUUAGUAAAAUCCGGUCACCAAACCCGAGAUGUUUAUUAAUCACGAUCGUACGACCCAGCAAUGUAACGCAUGGUCUCAGUCACAACGGUCGGCCUUCACAGUCUAUCCAGAGUGUGGUUACCAAUCAAAACCAAGAAAACCCGGUUACCGAGCCCCUGUACUCAAUAAUCACAAUAAUCACGAUGGCCCAACCCAGCAAUGUUGAUGACUCUGUUACCGCUUCGCGAUGGAUUUGAGAACCAGUUAAGUUACCGAGAUAAUAGUUGAUCACGAACUUAACGAGGACAAAGUAACCAAUUUUCCUUAGUGGACACUACCAAAUCACCUUAACCUCGUGUGGUGAGAGGUAGAGAAUGGUAGAGCGGGGACGUUUGUUGGUUUCUAGAGAAGGUAGUGUUUGUAAAUGGUUCGUUCCAUGUUGUGGGUGUUGGGGGGUAAGUGGGUGUGGGUGCGUGUGUUGGGGUGUAAGUGUGUGGGUGUGGGUGUGGGUAUCUCUCUCUCUCUCUCUCUCUCUCUCUCCUCGCAUGCCUCUCCCUCCCCAACCCCUCCGCGUAAAAAUAUCCAAAUCAAUUGAAUUUUUGUUAGAAAAUUUUUUAAACUAUUUAAAACAAGAUCUAUACUCUUGAUCUUGAUUAUAAAACUCCUAUCAUCAUUUUUUAAAGAAUAUUCAUUUUUAGCCAUUCAUUUUUCUGUUCAUUAGAUGGAUAAAAGAACAAUAUCAAAAGUGCGUGAAAUUUAAUUUCUAGGUAGUUUAAAUGGUUUUAACGGAGCCGAUCGUCAAUUUGGAAGCUCUAUCAUCGAAAACAAAUAGAUAGUAAAAUGGCUCGUUUACUACUGAUAGUAUUCUAGCUCAAUUCUCUCUCUCUCUCUCUCUCUCUCUCUCUCUCUCUCUCUCUCUAUAUAUAUAUAUAUAAAAUUAGGGUACCAUACUAUCUAUAGUACCGAAACUCCGGUACUAUAGUCUUGUUUUCAAUCUUAAGGUGUUUAGAUUAACGAUCCACACCGUUAAAUAUGAUUUAGGGUAUAUGAAGUUUUUACGAAUAAAAUUUUAGUUUUUUUCGGCAUUGUUUACUUAGUAAAUAAAUUAUAUUAAAAUGGACAGUGAAAUUGAAUAAUCUUUAAAAUUUGAGCAUUGGACUUUUAAAUUCAAGAUCAAGAAUGUUAACCUUAAUCUAGAUAUUUUAAAAUAUUUUCUAUCAAAAUUUGAAAAAAUUUAGAUUCUUCUACACUGUUAAACUCCAAAAGUUGCCAUAGUAGUGAUUAAAAAUUGACAAUUUUGAAAUGGUUUGAUCAUAAAGUAAAUUAUGUCGAAAAAAUAUAAAAUUUUAUUUCUAAAAACUUUAAAUAUCCUAAAUCAGUUCUAACGAUAUGGAUCGUUGAUUUGAACACCCUAAGAUCGAGAACGAGACUAUAGUACCGAAGCACCAGUACUAAAAAUAAUAUAGGAGAUUAGCCCUAUAUAUAUAUAGAAUUAUGCUAAUAUAUUAUCAAUAGUACCAAGCCCUUGGUACUAUUGAGUUUUCGACCGUUGGAUGAAAGAAUAUGCGGUUAGGAUGAUAGUGGUCCCCGGUUAAAUUGAUAGUGGUCCCCUAGGGUUGAGUAGAUGGUUAGUUUAAUAGUAUAAUCUAACGGAUGGAAAUGAUCAAAGGGUAGAUCUAACGGUAGAAAACUCAAUAGUACCAAGAGCUUAAUACUAUCGAUAGUAUAGUAACCGGACU